AGAGUUUGAUCCUGGCUCAGGACGAACGCUGGCGGCGUGCUUAACACAUGCAAGUCGAACGAGAAUCAUAGGAAGGAGAUUUCGGUCAACGGACUAUGAGGACAGUGGCGGACGGGUGAGUAACGCGUGAGGAACCUGCCUUUCAGAGGGGGACAACAGUUGGAAACGACUGCUAAUACCGCAUAACGCAUAGGAGCCGCAUGACUCCUAUGCCAAAGAUUUAUCGCUGAAAGAUGGCCUCGCGUCUGAUUAGCUGGUUGGUGAGGUAACGGCCCACCAAGGCGACGAUCAGUAGCCGGACUGAGAGGUUGAACGGCCACAUUGGGACUGAGAUACGGCCCAGACUCCUACGGGAGGCAGCAGUGGGGAAUAUUGGGCAAUGGGCGCAAGCCUGACCCAGCAACGCCGCGUGAAGGAAGAAGGCUUUCGGGUUGUAAACUUCUUUUGUCAGGGAAGAGGAGAAGACUGUACCUGGCGAAUAAGCCACGGCCAACUACGUGCCAGCAGCCGCGGUAAUACGUAGGUGGCAAGCGUUGUCCGGAUUUACUGGGUGUAAAGGGCGUGUAGCCGGGUCGGUAAGUCAGAUGUGAAAUCUACGGGCUCAACUCGUAAACUGCAUUUGAAACUGCUGAUCUUGAGUAUCGGAGAGGCAAUCGGAAUUCCUAGUGUAGCGGUGAAAUGCGUAGAUAUUAGGAGGAACACCAGUGGCGAAGGCGGAUUGCUGGACGACAACUGACGGUGAGGCGCGAAAGCGUGGGGAGCAAACAGGAUUAGAUACCCUGGUAGUCCACGCUGUAAACGAUGAAUACUAGGUGUGCGGGGACUGACCCCCUGCGUGCCGCAGCUAACGCAAUAAGUAUUCCACCUGGGGAGUACGAUCGCAAGGUUGAAACUCAAAGGAAUUGACGGGGGCCCGCACAAGCGGUGGAUUAUGUGGUUUAAUUCGAUGCAACGCGAAGAACCUUACCUGGUCUUGACAUCUACAGAACUUUCCAGAGAUGGAUGGGUGCCUUCGGGAACUGUAAGACAGGUGCUGCAUGGCUGUCGUCAGCUCGUGUCGUGAGAUGUUCGGUUAAGUCCGGCAACGAGCGCAACCCUUGUCCUUAUUUGCCAGCACGUAAUGGUGGGAACUCUAAGGAGACUGCCGGUGAUAAACCGGAGGAAGGUAGGGACGACGUCAAGUCAUCAUGGCCCUUAUGACCAGGGCUACACACGUGCUACAAUGGUCGGUACAAUGGGUUGCCAAACCGCGAGGUGGAGCUAAUCCCACAAAACCGAUCCCAGUCCGGAUUGUAGUCUGCAACUCGACUACAUGAAGUCGGAAUCGCUAGUAAUCGUGGAUCAGAAUGCCACGGUGAAUACGUUCCCGGGUCUUGUACACACCGCCCGUCACACCAUGGAAGUUGAUUGCUCCAGAAGUAGGUAGCUUAAAAAUGGGCGCUUACCACGGAGUGGUCGAUGACUGGGGUGAAGUCGUAACAAGGUA
rnacentral:rRNA from 1 species